AACAACUAAAAAAUAAACACUUAUAUAUGACUUUAAUAAGGAAAGUCGUUUCUACCUGAUACCGUAAAUAUCAGUCUAUAAGUAAAUGAAGGAUAGCU
rnacentral:ncRNA from 1 species